AUCCAGCUGACGAGUCCCAAAUAGGACAAAACACACAUCCCGGAU
rnacentral:hammerhead_ribozyme from 1 species